CGGGUAGGUUGUCGUUUAGCUCGGCAACCAAAUCUUUCAAUCGAGCAUUGUAUUGAAGCGCCAGUUUGUUGGCCAAAUCCACGCACUCAUCUUCGUUCAGCUGAUUUAUGGUCUUCUGGUAAGACAAAGUCACAGGGUGCCUAGUUUUAUCCACGAUGACCUAUUCGACAAGACAAUUAAUUACAGAAGAAAGCUGUGAGGGACUUUGGUCUUUUUUUUAUGAUCUUAAUUAUAAGACAUUAAAACCAACCCUUAACUCCUAAUUUCAUGUUAUUGGAAAGUAAUACAACAGUCCAUCUGCACUCAACAACUCAAGAAAACCAGGUUUGUGAACAAUCUUUUUGGGGUUGAAGGGGCUGAACCGGGCUAAUAACAAGGCCCAAAGCUAAGAAGAGGUUCUCGUCACAAAUGGGCCAAGAAACAAUAUGAAUUGAAGAUUGAAAAGAAAAGUGGAGUCCCCUGACAGUGCUGGAACCAUGAAGAUCAACGACAUCUAAUCUAAACCAUCAUCAACUUCUCUCUCCACUCUCAACUCUCCUGCAGCCGUAUGCCUUUUUUUCUUUUCUGUCCUUUCAAUUUGAAAACUGAACUCAAUCUCAUAAAACGUUUGAUGAGUAUCGAAAUUCAAAACUUUUCUUU